UUUUAUAAUGCAUUUCUGCUAUAUCAACUCACGUAAAGACGUAAUUAUUAUCUAUAUCAAUUCACAGUCAAUAAUGCUUUAAUUACAAAAGUCACGAUACUAUGAUUAUAUUCCCAGACACAAUUACACAAAAAUGCUUCCAAGAGCGAUUUAAUAAGUUGAUAUUGUAAUUGACUUCAUUUUCACAAAUGCAAAAAAAUGUAAUUAGGCUACUUUAAUACUUUUAAUAUAUUUCAAAUAAUUAUACAAAAACUCAAGAAAAUGAAAUAUUCUUGUUGAUGUAUACUGUAUGGCGACAUCAUUGUGAUGUGAUCGACCAAAAGUCAGAUAUUGUGUAUUGAUAUGUUUACCAUUAAAUUAAUUUGAA
rnacentral:misc_RNA from 1 species